rnacentral:rRNA from 1 species
CGAGACAGAGAUGUGGAGCGAAACUCAAAAAAGUAAGUCUCAGUUCGGAUUGAAGGCUGAAAUUCGCCUUCAUGAAGCCGGAAUUGCUAGUAAUGGCAGGUCAGCAUACUGCCGUGAAUACGUUCCCGGGCCUUGUACACACCGCCCGUCACACCAUGAGAGUUGGGAAUACCCGAAGCCUGUGAGCUAACUUUUAGAGGCAGCAGUCGAAGGUAGAGCCAAUGAUUGGGGUGAAGUCGUAACAAGGUAAC